rnacentral:lncRNA from 10 species
CAAUCUUGAAGGAGGAGUAAGAGUUAGAGGAGUAAAGGGUGGAUAAGAAUAAAACAGGAGGAGGAAGGAAGAGAAUUGAAUGGAGUUGUGUUCCAGCAAAAGUUACCACUUGGCUUCACCUGAAGUCUCACGAGAACCCGGUGCAUUCAAGAAAUUUUAACUGGUUUCCUUUCCCUUUGACUGGAGCUCAGGGUUCAGGGAGCAUGGUGGGAAGAGUGUGGAGAGAUUGGGCUGUUAAUUAGGGAGAUUUAUCUUGCACUUAGGAAAUUCUGACAUUGCAAAAACAGAGAGGCUAUCUCCUUGAGGAUUUAAGCGAAGGAGGC